rnacentral:lncRNA from 1 species
GAAAAGAGAGAGUAUUUGAACCCCCACCCUGCUUCUGUGUUUGGGAAUGGCUUCUUCCGAUGCUUUACUCAUUGCUUGGUUUUCUGCCUUGUGAAGGCCAAUAAUGGUGCUCAGAAGGCCCUCAUGAAGUAAAAAGGAUAUCUUCCAACUCCAGCUUCUCAGAAGUCACCCUGGCGGGUUUAGCCAGUAAAGAAAACUUCAGCAACGUCAGCCUGCGGAGCGUCAACCUGACGGAACAGAACUCUAACAACAGCGCCGUGCCCUUCAAGAGGCUGAUGCUGUUGCAGAUUAAAGGAAGAAGACACGUGCAGACCAGGCUGGUGGAACCUCGAGCUUCGGCGCUCAAUAGUGGGGACUGCUUCCUCCUGCUCUCUCCCCACUGCUGCUUCCUGUGGGUAGGAGAGUUCGCAAACGCCAUAGAAAAGGCGAAGCUGCUGGAGACCCAAAAGAAGAUGAACUCUAUGAAGCAGCCAUAAUAGAAACUAACUGCAUUUACUGUCUCAUGGAUGACAAACUUGUUCCUGA